rnacentral:rRNA from 1 species
CACGUAGGGUGCGAGCGUUGUCCGGAAUUAUUGGGCGUAAAGAGCUCGUAGGCGGUGUGUCGCGUCGGCCGUGAAAACUUGCAGCUUAACUGUGGGCGUGCGGUCGAUACGGGCAUCACUGGAGUUCGGCAGGGGAGACUGGAAUUCCUGGUGUAGCGGUGAAAUGCGCAGAUAUCAGGAAGAACACCAGUGGCGAAGGCGGCUAUCUGGACGGUUUCUGACACUAAGACUCGAAAGCGUGGGGAGCAAACAGG